GAAGAGAAGAAACUGAAAGGUCUGUAUAGUACAUACACGACAAAACCUGUUUUACAGCUCCGGCUCACAGUCUCCUCCGUAAAGCUGAGUAUUCUCCACUCUCCCUCUUUCCACCUGUUUUCCAUUAUCAAUAAACAUACCCCUUCCGGGGUUUAAAUACUCUAUGGCCUGUUCUUCUCUGGUGUUUUGUGACAGAAGACCAGACCAUUGAACAGAAUGGAUCCUACAGCCGCUGACACCAUCCAACAGCUGGUUAGGGCGCUGCAGAGAGCAAUCCACCGCGGCUGCGCGCCUACCGCCGACCCCGGAAGGGGCAUGUCCCACCAUCCCUCCCUCUACUCCGGUUCGACUCGCCAUGGAAAUGCAACCCCACCGCUUUCCCACUGACAGGGCAAAAAUUGCGUUUAUCAUCUCGCUUUUGACUGGGAAAGCACUCCGCUGGGCUGAUUCCCUCUGGUAGCAGAACGGCCCAGUUCUUCAGUUCGUUGACGCUUUCGUCGCUUAUUUCAGAGAGGUCUUCGGCAAGCCCUUAUGGGAUACGUGUGCAGGAGAGCAACUACAGAUGUGGCAGUUAAGAAUGCGCGUCAGAGGGACAGGAAUCCCGCGACGACUCGCAGCAUUGUGCGGCAUUGCGAGUGACGCUCUCGCGCAGGAAAGACGAGACCAGUAGGCGGCAGUCGUGUUUCAUGUACAUUGAAAUCGAUCAACAUAACGUGGUGCUGCGGAGAGCAACUGGCGGAUUCAAAAGCUAUUUAAAAGAUUACAGAGCAGUCUGUUCUUGCAGUAGCUACUUUGAUGUCAUAAACUGAUCGGUCUGCGAAGCGCUGCAUGAAGUCAAACACAUUAAAUGAUGUGAUUGGAUCACGAGAUUCGUAGCAAUACGGGAUUAAAUUCUUAAUAUUUUGAGAAUAAUGUCAUUAUUUACAUUAACGUGUUUAGAGUGAUAAAUAAUAUUAGGCCUAUUUGUGUACAGUGAAAUUAAUGUAUUAAUAAAACGACUUAAUGCAUUAAGCUACGUUGAGAAUACGCAUAAAAGUGAAACUUUACUCGUUGCAUGCGCAUCUACCUGUUUUACUAAUAAGGUAGGUAUAACUUAUCUGCUUUGAACGUUACUCCAAACACGUUGAUGUAUAUGGCAUUAUAAAUAAAGCAUUACAACUUAAUCCCUAUAUUGUAUGUGUUUAAUACUGUUGCAUGAAGUCACGCACAUUAAAUGAUGUGCUUGGCCACGGCAUUUCUCUCAGAAGCAGAUUAAAACAAGCAACAAAGAGUAAA